rnacentral:tRNA from 1 species
AUGUGGCUCAGUGGGUAGAGUCCUUGCCUAGCAACCAUGAAGACUUGGGUUCAAUCCCCAGCAU